GUCCACGCCUUAAACGAUGAAUACUAGACGUUGGGAUAAAACUCAGUGUCGCAGCUAACGCAUUAAGUAUUCCACCUGGGGAGUACGAUCGCAAGGUUGAAACUCAAAGGAAUUGACGGGGGCCCGCACAAGCAGUGGAGCAUGUGGUUCAAUUCGAUGCAACGCGAAGAACCUUACCUGGGCUUGACAUGUAAGCUAAGGCGAAUGAAAGUUCGCGUCCCGCAAGGGGAGCUUAUACAGAUGCUGCAUGGCUGUCGU
rnacentral:rRNA from 1 species